rnacentral:rRNA from 1 species
AACGAACGCUGGCGGCAGGCCUAACACAUGCAAGUCGAGCGAAGCCUUCGGGCUUAGCGGCGGACGGGUGAGUAACGCGUGGGAACGUGCCCUUUGGUACGGAAUAGCCCCGGGAAACUGGGAGUAAUACCGUAUGUGGUCGAGAGACGAAAGAUUUAUCGCCAAAGGAUCGGCCCGCGUUGGAUUAGGGAGUUGGUGGGGUAAUGGCCUACCAAGCCGACGAUCCAUAGCUGGUUUGAGAGGAUGAUCAGCCACACUGGGACGGAGACACGGCCCAGACUCCUACGGGAGGCAGCAGUGGGGAAUCUUAGACAAUGGGGGAAACCCUGAUCUAGCCAUGCCGCGUGAUCGAUGAAGGCUUUAGGGUUGUAAAGAUCUUUCAGUGGGGAAGAUAAUGACUGUACCCACAGAAGAAGCCCCGGCUAACUCCGUGCCAGCAGCCGCCGUAACAC